GUCAGGUGUGAUGGAUGUGGUCCUGUGAGUCAGGGGUGUGGUCAGUGUGAUGGAUGUGGUCCUUUGAGUCAGGGGUGUGGUCAGGUGUGAUGGAUGUGGUCCUUUGAGUCAGGGGUGUGGUCAGGUGUGAUGGAUAUGGUCCAGUGAGUCAGGGGUGUGGUCAGUGUGAUGGAUGUGGUCCUUUGAGUCAGGGGUGUGGUCAGGUGUGAUGGAUGUGGUCCUUUGAGUCAGGGGUGUGGUCAGGUGUGAUGGAUGUUGUCCUUUGAGUCAGGGGUGUGGUCAGGUGUGAUGGAUGUUGUCCUGUGAGUCAGGGGUGUGGUCAGGUGUGAUGGAUGUGGUCCUUUGAGUCAGGGGUGUGGUCAGGUGUGAUGGAUGUGGUCCUUUAAGUCAGGGGUGUGGUCAGGUGUGAUGGAUGUUGUCCUGUGAGUCAGGGGUGUGGUCAGGUGUGAUGGAUGUGGUCCUUUGAGUCAGGGGUGUGGUCAGGUGUGAUGGAUGUGGUCCUUUAAGUCAGGGGUGUGGUCAGGUGUGAUGGAUGUUGUCCUGUGAGUCAGGGGUGUGGUCAGGUGUGAUGG